UGACAUGAAAACCGCCUAUUUCACACAGCAAAUUAAACAACCAAAUACCUUCCCCAAUCCUAAACUGUAGUUGAUACGAAUCAUACGAUACUCAAGCUCUGCAAUUGACCUCGGCGGCGACGGCGGCGGUGUUGACAGAAGAGAGAGAGCACAAGUGAACAUAGCCCAUAUAUGUAUGGGGAGAGAAUAAAACCUCAUUCGAUCGGGUAUGCGCAGUUUUGUACUCUCUGCUCUUCUGCCAACAAACUCCAUCAUGCCUUCGCCCUCUCUCUCUCUCUCUCUCUACUAACUCUCUGCUGCAAGGGGCUACAACACGAGGUGGUGGACCCAAGAAAAGCUCAAAAGUGCAACUGGGGACUGGGUCCUAUGGCUACUGUACAGUGUUAAACACCCAAAUGGCAAACGGUGCUGAGGAGAGCAAGAAAAUUCUGAUUAUUUUAGUCUGACUGCACGAGUGAUUAUAUUAUAUAUCUAUAGAUAUGCAACUAAUCAACAAUUAAUGAUUAGAUGAUUACUAUUCCAUUCUUUUAAAAUUAUUAAUUUAUAAUUUAUUAUUACUCGGAUUCGAUUACA